UCGAGGGGGUAUAGAGACGCCAGACGAGAGCUUGACCUGACUAGAUGUUUUGGUUCGAGGGGGUAUAGAGACGCCAGACAAGAGCUUGACCUGACUAGAUGUUUUGGUUCGAGGGGGUAUAGAGACGCCAGACGAGAGCUUGACCUGACUGUAGAUGUUUUGGUUCGAGGGGGUAUAGAGACGCCAGACGAGAGCUUGACCUGACUGUAGAUGUUUUGGUUCGAGGGGGUAUAGAGACGCCAGACGAGAGCUUGACCUGACUAGAUGUUUUGGUUCGAGGGGGUAUAGAGACGCCAGACGAGAGCUUGACCUGACUAGAUGUUUUGGUUCGAGGGGGUAUAGAGACGCCAGACGAGAGCUUGACCUGACUGUAGAUGUUUUGGUUCGAGGGGGUAUAGAGACGCCAGAUGAGAGCUUGACCUGACUAGAUAUGUUUUGGUUCGAGGGGGUAUAGAGACGCCAGGCGAGAGCUUGACCUGACUGUAGAUGUUUUGGUUCGAGGGGGUAUAGAGACGCCAGACGAGAGCUUGACCUGACUAGAUGUUUUGGUUCGAGGGGGUAUAGAGACGCCAGACGAGAGCUUGACCUGACUAGAUGUUUUGGUUCGAGGGGGUAUAGAGACGCCAGACGAGAGCUUGACCUGACUGUAGAUGUUUUGGUUCGAGGGGGUAUAGAGACGCCAGAG
ensembl:lncRNA